UAUUUAUGAUGCAAUGUUCUAUGGAAAUUGGAUUAAGUGUGUGGAUUUGGGCAAAGUUUUUGGUCACAAUCGCGUGUUUGAUGAGCUUAUGUUUACCUGAUUAUUUUUAUAGCACAGGGUGGAGGGAAAAAAACUGGUCAAUACUCUAGGCAUGUUACGGGCUGCAGGUAUGGUAUCAAUCUGGCUAAAGGUAUUCUGGAACAUCACUCGAAAGGGAUCCUAGAUUCUGACAAACCAAGGAAAUUGCUCGCAAAUUUUCAAAUUGGCAAGCUCAUCAUAGGUUAUGUGUUUGAUCAAAUGUCAAGAUGAUAUUUUUGGAUAUAUUUUCUUAUUUCUUAUUGGUAUAUUUGAGAGGUAUGGGUGUAUAUGCUUUCUUCUCUGCAUCAUGGGUCUCCUCUUUUUGUUUGUUUUAUAAAUACUUCUAUGGGAUAUUGUGAACAGCAGGGAACACUCCAAAUGUAGCAUACGGCCAUUGAUAUGCUGAGAAAGCUCUAUUUCCAAUUAUCUGAUUUUGUUUCAUCUGUAUUUGAGAAUACUGUAACGGUUUUUGUUACGGCCGAAUUCCCCUUUUCUGCAAUUCCUAGAAUUCGAGAGCUAGGACUCUCCAGAAACAAGAUGAAGAAGAUGAGUUUUAUUCAUUCUGCCCUUUUUUGAUUACAUAGUAAUUGCUUUAUAUAGUAUGUUCUUUGAAUUGUUACUAACAGAAUUGAUAAAUUCUGAUGCUAGGGCCUAACCGAAAAGGAUUCACGAAGAUUCUAUUCUAACAGAAUUACAAGGCUCGUGGGAUAAUUCCCUUCUGGACCACUCUAUGCCACGUCAGCUUCCUUUCCCCUUUAGACAAUAAAGUCCUUCAGGGCCUAACCGAAAAGGAUUCACGAAGAUUCUAUUCUAACAGAAUUACAAGGCUCGUGGGAUAAUUCCCUUUUGGACCACUCUAUGCCACGUCAGCUUCCUUUCCCCUUUAGACAAUAAAGUCCUUCAGGCAUGUCAUCUGGAAAAAGUUCAGUGACAAGUUUCCAGGGAUCACCUGUACCUGCAGGACUAAUGGGUACAGGACUAAUGGAGGGUGGUCUGAUUGAUGUUCAACAAUUUUCACUCAAAGCUGUGCUUCUGUAAGAAUUCCGUCAAGAAAUAAUUCACUCUCAUAAUAUCCGGCUGCACCAAUGGGGAAGGACAUGCAGCAAUGGUUCUUGGCAUGCCAACAACAACAAUCACUUUAAACAAAAAAAUAUAUUUGUGCUGGCAAUCACAUGGAGUUUGGAUACAUUGGUUUGCAGAUUCCACAUCAAUACAAUUCACAAUUUCAUUGUCCAUAGCUGGAGAUUUAAAUGUAACCACAUGAUGUUAAAAGCUGUGCAUGCACAAUAGUUCACUAAUUUGUUUAAAAUGUGGUAUAUAUUGAAUCAAAUAAACAAUUAUUUCAGCAUACUAGCAUUAUAGAUUCUGCAGUAUGUUCAAGUUACCCAUUUAUAAAAUUGUAGCAAAAAGAAAAUGUAUUUUGAAGUUUGUAUUUCAUUAUGGUACAAACUUUACACCUUCGAGUGCUGAUCAUUUCAUAGCAAAUGUUACAUAGAUCGAGAAUAGAGUAUGUGAUUCAAUGUAUGAUUCAGUGAGCCAAGAAGGAAGCAAUAGAUAGGCCAAUGUUAGUAUCAGCAAAAAUGUUAAACACAAAAUACAACAUUCUGGUCAGCAGAUCUUUUGAAAGUGGGAGUAAAUAAUUUAUACACCACAAGAAAUGAAAAGGAAAUCCUCAGCAAAGUACAUCAACUGCAUCAUGGUAGGUAUACUAGCAUCCACUUCUCAUUUCUAUGGCACCAUUGUUGAACAUCUAAGCCUUCCCAAAUUUCUAUUAACCUUAUGCACGUUUUCCUU